CACGUGUUACAAUGGCAGGUACAGAGGGGUGCUACCGGGUGACCGGAUGCCGAUCUCGAAAACCUGUCCCAGUUCGGACUGGAGUCUGCAACCCGACUCCACGAAGUUGGAUUCGCUAGUAAUCGCGCAUCAGCCAUGGCGCGGUGAAUACGUUCCCGGGCCUUGUACACACCGCCCGUCAAGCCAUGGGAGCCGGGGGCGCCUGAAGUGCGUGACCGCAAGGAGCGCCCUAAGGUAAAACCGGUGACUGGGGCUAAGUCGUAACAAGGUACC
rnacentral:rRNA from 1 species